CCUUCUCUUCUUCUUUAUGUUGCUGCCAUGGUUUGUAUCACUAUCAUGGGUCAACUCGUUAGCAGGUAAGAUUAAUCAUCUUUUGUAUUUAUUUGGGCUGCUUUCAAUUAAAAGUUAAUAAGCAGAUAUGGUGUAAUUGAUUCCUAUUAUAAAUUAGUUAGUACAUAAUGGGAUGAAUAGUUGGAUAAUGAAAAUAGAAAUUAAAAAAUAUGGUAAUUGAUAAAUUUUGGAAAAAAGAUGUUUUGUUGUGUGACCGGAUUGGUUCUGUCUUGUUGUAAUCCAUA
rnacentral:lncRNA from 1 species